rnacentral:rRNA from 1 species
AGAACGAACGCUGGCGGCAGGCUUAACACAUGCAAGUCGAGCGCCGUAGCAAUACGGAGCGGCAGACGGGUGAGUAACGCGUGGGAACAUACCCUUCGGUUCGGAAUAACUCAGGGAAACUUGAGCUAAUACCGGAUACGUUCGCGAGAAGAAAGAUUCAUCGCCGAAGGAUUGGCCCGCGUCCGAUUAGCUAGGUUGGUGUGGUAAUGGCGCACCAAGGCGACGAUCGGUAGCUGGUCUGAGAGGAUGAUCAGCCACAUUGGGACUGAGACACGGCCCAAACUCCUACGGGAGGCAGCAGUGGGGAAUAUUGGACAAUGGGCGCAAGCCUGAUCCAGCCAUGCCGCGUGAGUGAUGAAGGCCUUAGGGUUGUAAAGCUCUUUCACCCACGACGAUAAUGACGGUAGUGGGAGAAGAGCCCGGCUAACGUUCGCGCCAGCAGCCGC